AAUGGAAAUGUUGGGUCAUAUGGUAAUUCUAUGUUUAACUUUUUGAGGAACUGCCAGACUUUUUUCUAAACCAGCUGCAUAAUUUUACAUUACUACCAGCAGU
rnacentral:pre_miRNA from 1 species